GGCUUAAUGGUCUAGUGGUAUGAUUUUUUCUUCGGGUGUGACAGGUCCUGAGUUCAACUCUCAGUUGAACCC
rnacentral:tRNA from 1 species